rnacentral:lncRNA from 1 species
GUUCAGCUCUUUCAAAUGUGGAUCAGGUUGAUCCUAAAUCCACUACGCCGUGUUUAACUCUGGAGCCACUUCUCCUACCUGAUGACUUAAGACUUGGGAGUGGAUCUAUCUGCCUGCUCAAACCCGAGAUUUUGCCUAUUAGUGAAAGUAUUCUGCAUCUGGUCCCACUGCUGUGACCUGGAUGAGAGCAGCAUCUUCCAAGGAAGCUGAGUGACUGAGCACAGCAUCAUCUGGAUGUCACUGUAUUUUACCUUUUGUAUUUUCUCUCAGCACAGAAAACUUGGUACAACCUCCCUUUCCUGAGUCCAGAGUGGAAUUGCAGAAUUUCCUCUCCCAGACUGGAAGAAAGAAGGAAAAAAAAAAAAAGUUUAGAGGUCCAUUUUACUUAAUUUCAUGAAAUAAAAUUUUUGAUGAUCUAAAUGCAUCUCUUUUGGUUUCAGAACUGAGAUUUUUUUUUUCAGUUAGCAAUUACACAAAAAUUUACAAUUUCAGGUCAGUUUUCAUAAACAGGUACAAAAUUUCAUAACAAAAAGUAUUUUCAUUGAAAAUAUGAUAUGCUUUUAGUAGAAAAGAUGCACUUCAGAUCACUUUCCUUCUUUCCUUUUUUUUUNNNNNNNNNNNNNNNNNNNNUUUUUUUUUUUUUUUUUUGUUUGGUAGAGUUCAUGACUUGCCGUGUGAUGAGGGGACACUGGAAUUUAACAGCUUUAACUGUGUUUAAUUUAUCUUUGUGAUCAUGCUAUAAAGAGGAGAUGGAGACACCUGGGCCAUGGACUUGUAAAACACAGUUUUCAGAGAUAAUAAAUGAAAAAUUGGCCCCUUGUCCUCGGAGUGGAUAUGACCUCAGCUGCACUUACCAAGACCUGGGAUCAGGGCUCUGCCAUGCCGUGUCUUUGCUAGCAAGGGAUGCAGGGAACAAGGGUACCACAGGCAAUGCUGAAUCGUUCAACAAGGAAAGGAACAUGAAGAUGAGAAUGAAGAGCAAAUUCAACCUUGGGAGAAUGGACAUCCCUAAUCCCUGACAGAAAUAAAUGAGGAUAAUGCCUUUUCCA